rnacentral:lncRNA from 1 species
AUGCUAUCGUAUUCAUUUCUGAUUUGCUUUGUAUUCAAAAGACAUCCUGUUAUUUAUUUUUUCAGAUGGUUGUUGAAAUCCAGCAAUACCACCCGUGGAUCGGCCUUCAUAAUUGUUCCCGGGGCCCGGCCCCACGCCGGACAUGUCACGGCACUCGAUAAACGUCUACGGAGGGCGUCCUCACCGCCUACCCGCCGAGGAGAAAGUGAUCACACGUGUCCCGUUUUCCAUUGCACGCCGGGGCUAGGUCGCAGACGUCCUGGGUUCGCGGAUCACGCGUAAGUUUCUUCGGGGCCCCCCCCCCGGGUCGAGCAGCGGGAGGUGACGAUAAAGCAGCUGACGGUCGUGGCCGGUUGGGGCCGUGAGUAGGGGUGCCGCCACGAAAAGCUGAGAGUGUGUGUGUGUGGGGGGGCGGUCCUUGUAGGGCGCUGCGCGUAUGCGGUCCGAGUUUUGGUUUUCAGCAGGCCAUCUCUCUUCAGCCCCUGGCGUUGACUCGCCACUUUGUCUUUGGGAGGGAAGGCGCAAAGGUUUUCAAGCAGCAGAACGUGCUGAGGUUCGGCAGGAGUGACUACCUAGGGAUCUACUCGCGCCUGUGGCCACCGAGAGACCAGUCCUGUGUGUUUUUCUUUUAAUGCUUAUUUAUUUAUUUUUGAGAGAGAGAGAGAGAGCAAGCACAAGUGGGGAGGGUCAGAGAGAGAGGGGAGACCCAGAAUCAGAAGCGGGCUCCGGGCUCCGAGCUGGCCGCACAGAGCCCGACGCGGGGCUCGAACCCACGGACCGGGAGCUCAUGACCUGAGCCGAAGUCGGACGCUUCACCGACUGAGCCACUCAAGCACGUCUUGUGUGCAUCCAUUUAAGCCUUGGCAGCCCCUUCUGGAAAAACAAAACAAAACAGACAAGAUAGCAGAUGCCGCCCGGGUGACAGAAGAAGCGUCUACCAAAAAUUAGGCCCAAAACACGCUCCCUUGGGGAGCUUUCUUGGGCAGGUGUUCCCUACCUCCCUUCCACACCAAAGAGGGUGGUGUCACCUCUGCCUUGAGAAUCUUAACCCACCUCGGAACACUUAUCUUUUCCUCUCUCCCCCUUUCUGGGAUCCCACUAAGCUGCUUCCUAGAAUCCUGACUUUUACCCCCUUCCUUAGACUUACUGAUAGAAAUGAGCUGGUGACAGCCGACCGCUCGGCUAGAUACCCUCGUACCUGGGACGGCAGCCGUUCAAAGACCUGUACAGACUCCAGAGACUUAAUAAAACAGGAGUGGGGCAGAUAGGAUACUUGCUA